ACAAGAUGAAAGAGUGGAAAGACAAAGAAGAAGAAGAAGAAGAGGGAUCAUCUUUCUUUCUCUCUUGCUUUUA
rnacentral:ribozyme from 13 species